AAUCAACGCUGGCGGCGUGCCUCAGACAUGCAAGUCGAACGAUUAAAGCUCUCUUCGGAGAGUGUAUAGAGUGGCGCACGGGUGAGUAACACGUAAGUAAUCUACCUUUGAGUGGGGAAUAACCCGGGGAAACCCGAGCUAAUACCGCAUAAUGCAGCGGCACCGCAAGGUGACAGUUGUUAAAGGAGCAAUCCGCUUAAAGAGGAGCUUGCGGCAGAUUAGCUAGNGGUAAGGUAAUGGCUUACCAAGGCUUCGAUCUGUAUCCGGCCUGAGAGGGCGUCGGGCACACUGACACUGAAUAACGGGUCAGACUCCUACGGGAGGCAGCAGUCGGGAAUUUUGGGCAAUGGGCGAAAGCCUGACCCAGCAACGCCGCGUGAAGGAUGAAGUAUUUCGGUAUGUAAACUUCGAAAGAAUGGGAAGAAUCAAUGACGGUACCAUUUAUAAGGUCC
rnacentral:rRNA from 1 species